UACGUAGGUGGCAAGCGUUGUCCGGAAUUACUGGGCGUAAAGGGCGUGUAGGCGGGAUGGCAAGUCAGAUGUGAAAUUCCGGGGCUUAACUCCGGCGCUGCAUCUGAAACUGCUGUUCUUGAGUACUGGAGAGGAAAGUGGAAUUCCUAGUGUAGCGGUGAAAUGCGUAGAGAUUAGGAGGAACACCAGUGGCGAAGGCGGCUUUCUGGACAGUAACUGACGCUGAGGCGCGAAAGCGUGGGGAGCAAACAGGAUUAGAUACC
rnacentral:rRNA from 1 species